rnacentral:rRNA from 1 species
GCAGUCGACGGUAGCACAGAGGAGCUUGCUCCUUGGGUGACGAGUGGCGGACGGGUGAGUAAUGCCUAGGGAUCUGCCCAGUCGAGGGGGAUAACAGUUGGAAACGACUGCUAAUACCGCAUACGCCCUACGGGGGAAAGAGGGGGACCUUCGGGCCUCUCGCGAUUGGAUGAACCUAGGUGGGAUUAGCUAGUUGGUGAGGUAAUGGCUCACCAAGGCGACGAUCCCUAGCUGUUCUGAGAGGAUGAUCAGCCACACUGGGACUGAGACACGGCCCAGACUCCUACGGGAGGCAGCAGUGGGGAAUAUUGCACAAUGGGGGAAACCCUGAUGCAGCCAUGCCGCGUGUGUGAAGAAGGCCUUCGGGUUGUAAAGCACUUUCAGUAGGGAGGAAAGGGUGAGUCUUAAUACGGCUCAUCUGUGACGUUACCUACAGAAGAAGGACCGGCUAACUCCGUGCCAGCAGCCGCGGUAAUACGGAGGGUCCGAGCGUUAAUCGGAAUUACUGGGCGUAAAGCGUGCGCAGGCGGUUUGUUAAGCGAGAUGUGAAAGCCCUGGGCUCAACCUAGGAAUAGCAUUUCGAACUGGCGAACUAGAGUCUUGUAGAGGGGGGUAGAAUUCCAGGUGUAGCGGUGAAAUGCGUAGAGAUCUGGAGGAAUACCGGUGGCGAAGGCGGCCCCCUGGACAAGACUGACGCUCAUGCA